rnacentral:rRNA from 1 species
UAGCUAGUUGGUGGGGUAAGGGCCUACCAAGGCGACGAUCGGUAGCUGGUCUGAGAGGAUGACCAGCCACACUGGAACUGAGACACGGUCCAGACUCCUACGGGAGGCAGCAGUGGGGAAUAUUGGACAAUGGGGGCAACCCUGAUCCAGCAAUGCCGCGUGUGUGAAGAAGGCCUGAGGGUUGUAAAGCACUUUCAGUGGGGAGGAGGGUUGAUAGGUUAAGAGCUAAUUAACUGGACGUUACCCACAGAAGAAGCACCGGCUAACUCCGUGCCAGCAGCCGCGGUAAUACGGAGGGUGCGAGCGUUAAUCGGAAUUACUGGGCGUAAAGGGUGCGCAGGUGGUUGAUUAAGUUAUCUGUGAAAUUCCUGGGCUUAACCUGGGACGGUCAGAUAAUACUGGUUGACUCGAGUAUGGGAGAGGGUAGUGGAAUUUCCGGUGUAGCGGUGAAAUGCGUAGAGAUCGGAAGGAACACCAGUGGCGAAGGCGGCUACCUGGCCUAAUACUGACACUGAGGCACGAAAGCGUGGGGAGCAAACAGGAUUAGAUACCCUGGUAGUCCACGCUGUAAACGAUGUCAACUAGCUGUUGGUUAUAUGAAAAUAAUUAGUGGCGC